GACGAACGCUGGCGGCGUGCUUAACACAUGCAAGUCGAACGGAAAGGCCCUGCUUGCCGGGUACUCGAGUGGCGAACGGGUGAGUAACACGUGGGUGAUCUGCCCUGCACUUCGGGAUAAGCUUGGGAAACUGGGUCUAAUACCGGAUAGGAACCAUCUUUAGUGUGGUGGUUGGAAAGUUUUUUCGGUGUAGGAUGAGCUCGCGGCCUAUCAGCUUGUUGGUGGGGUAAUGGCCUACCAAGGCGGCGACGGGUAGCCGGCCUGAGAGGGUGUACGGCCACAUUGGGACUGAGAUACGGCCCAGACUCCUACGGGAGGCAGCAGUGGGGAAUAUUGCACAAUGGGCGCAAGCCUGAUGCAGCGACGCCGCGUGGGGGAUGAAGGCCUUCGGGUUGUAAACUCCUUUCGCUAGGGACGAAGCUUUUUGUGACGGUACCUAGAUAAGAAGCACCGGCUAACUACG
rnacentral:rRNA from 1 species